GAGCCGCACGCCAAGAAAAAGUCAAAGAUCUCCGCCUCGAGAAAACUGCAGCUGAAGACCCUGAUGCUGCAGAUAGCGAAGCAGGAGCUGGAGCGCGAGGCAGAGGAUCGGCGCGGGGAGAAGGGGCGCGCUCUGAGCACGCGGUGCCAGCCCCUGGAAGUGGCUGGGCUGAGCUUCGAGGAGC